AUUUACAGAAGGAUAGAUGUGACUAUGUCUCAGUUAACACACUGAAAUAAUUUAAAACAGCGACAUAAGUUAAAAGGGGAACCAAUAACUUUUCUUCUUAUAACCUCAUUUUGGAUUCGAAGGAAGACAGAAUGGGUGUUGGAUGGAUGAUAGCAAUUAUUCUGGUGGUAACAGUAGUUGAGCCAAUAACUACAGAUACAACCACUGAACCACCUACAACAACCACAACGACCACAGCACCAACUACAACAACGACAACAAUGACCACAGCACCACCUACAACAACAACGACCACAGAGCCACCUACAACAACAACGACCA